AGAGUUUGAUCCUGGCUCAGAUUGAACGCUGGCGGCAGGCCUAACACAUGCAAGUCGAGCGGAUGAAGAGAGCUUGCUCUCUGAUUCAGCGGCGGACGGGUGAGUAAUGCCUAGGAAUCUGCCUGGUAGUGGGGGACAACGUUUCGAAAGGAACGCUAAUACCGCAUACGUCCUACGGGAGAAAGCAGGGGACCUUCGGGCCUUGCGCUAUCAGAUGAGCCUAGGUCGGAUUAGCUAGUUGGUGAGGUAAUGGCUCACCAAGGCGACGAUCCGUAACUGGUCUGAGAGGAUGAUCAGUCACACUGGAACUGAGACACGGUCCAGACUCCUACGGGAGGCAGCAGUGGGGAAUAUUGGACAAUGGGCGAAAGCCUGAUCCAGCCAUGCCGCGUGUGUGAAGAAGGUCUUCGGAUUGUAAAGCACUUUAAGUUGGGAGGAAGGGUUGUAGAUUAAUACUCUGCAAUUUUGACGUUACCGACAGAAUAAGCACCGGCUAACUCUGUGCCAGCAGCCGCGGUAAUAC
rnacentral:rRNA from 1 species